AUACGGAGGGUGCAAGCGUUGUCCGGAUUUAUUGGGUUUAAAGGGUGCGUAGGUGGUUUUUUAAGUCAGUGGUGAAAGCCUACAGCUUAACUGUAGAGGUGCCAUUGAAACUGGGGAACUUGAGUAUGGACGAGGUAGGCGGAAUUUGUGGUGUAGCGGUGAAAUGCAUAGAUACCACAAAGAACACCGAUAGCGAAGGCAGCUUACUAGGCCAUAACUGACACUGAGGCACGAAAGUGUGGGGAGCGAACAGGAUUAGAUACCCCGGUAGUCC
rnacentral:rRNA from 1 species